rnacentral:rRNA from 1 species
CCUACGGGCGGCUGCAGUGAGGAAUAUUGGUCAAUGGACGCAAGUCUGAACCAGCCAUGCCGCGUGCAGGAAGACGGCUCUAUGAGUUGUAAACUGCUUUUGUACGAGGGUAAACGCAGAUACGCGUAUCUGUCUGAAAGUAACGUACGAAUAAGGAUCGGCUAACUCCGUGCCAGCAGCCGCGGUAAUACGGAGGAUUCAAGCGUUAUCCGGAUUUAUUGGGUUUAAAGGGUGCGUAGGCGGUCGGGUAAGUUAGAGGUGAAAUCCCGAGGCUCAACUUCGGAAUUGCCUCUGAUACUGUUCGGCGAGAGAGUAGUUGAGGUAGGCGGAAUGUAUGGUGUAGCGGUGAAAUGCUUAGAGAUCAUACAGAACACCGAUUGCGAAGGCAGCUUACCAAGCUACUUCUGACGUUGAGGCACGAAAGCGUGGGGAGCAAACAGGAUUAGAUACCCUUGUAGUC